rnacentral:rRNA from 1 species
AACGAACGCUGGCGGCGUGCCUAAUACAUGCAAGUCGAACGGGGUAGCAAUACCUAGUGGCGCACGGGUGAGGAACGCGUGGAUAAUCUGCCUUAGAGUGGGGGAUAACUAGUCGAAAGAUUAGCUAAUACCGCAUAAGACCACAGGAGCUGCGGCUCUAGGGGUCAAAGGUUUUUCGCUCUGAGAUGAGUCCGCGUAAGAUUAGCUAGUUGGUGAGGUAACGGCUCACCAAGGCGACGAUCUUUAACUGGUCUGAGAGGAUGAUCAGUCACACUGGAACUGAGACACGGUCCAGCCUCCUACGGGAGGCAGCAGUAGGGAAUAUUGCACAAUGGAGGCAACUCUGAUGCAGCAACGCCGCGUGAGUGAUGAAGGCCUUCGGGUCGUAAAGCUCUGUCGCAGGGGAAUAACACAAUGAAUGUACCCUGUAAGAAAGGAUCGGCUAACUUCGUGCCAGCAGCCGCCGUAACAC